rnacentral:rRNA from 1 species
UACGGAGGGUGCGAGCGUUAAUCGGAAUAACUGGGCGUAAAGCGCACGCAGGCGGUCAUUUAAGUCAGAUGUGAAAUCCCCGAGCUUAACCUGGGAAUAGCAUCUGAGACUGGGAGUCUAGAGUCCUGUAGAGGGGGGUAGAAUUCCAUGUGUAGCGGUGAAAUGCGUAGAGAUGUGGAGGAAUACCGGAGGCGAAGGCAGCCCCCUGGAAAAAGACUGACGCUCAUGUGCGAAAGCGUGGGGAGCAAACAGG